rnacentral:rRNA from 1 species
AUUGAACGCUGGCGGCAGGCCUAACACAUGCAAGUCGAACGGUAACAGGAAACAGCUUGCUGUUUCGCUGACGAGUGGCGGACGGGUGAGUAAUGUCUGGGAAACUGCCUGAUGGAGGGGGAUAACUACUGGAAACGGUAGCUAAUACCGCAUAACGUCGCAAGACCAAAGAGGGGGACCUUCGGGCCUCUUGCCAUCGGAUGUGCCCAGAUGGGAUUAGCUAGUAGGUGGGGUAACGGCUCACCUAGGCGACGAUCCCUAGCUGGUCUGAGAGGAUGACCAGCCACACUGGAACUGAGACACGGUCCAGACUCCUACGGGAGGCAGCAGUGGGGAAUAUUGCACAAUGGGCGCAAGCCUGAUGCAGCCAUGCCGCGUGUAUGAAGAAGGCCUUCGGGUUGUAAAGUACUUUAAGCGGGGAGGAAGGGAGUAACGUUAAUCCCUUUACUCAUUGACGUUACCCGCAGAAGAAGCACCGGCUAACUCCGUG